AUCUCCUGUUUCUGCCCCAGUUUCUUAACUUCUAUAGACUCAUGGGUUCUAAUUAUGGAGAAGAUCAAGCCAGGAAACGCAAUUCGCCAAUUUGAUACAUCGGUGAGGCCGCGUUGCCUGGAUCGUGUGGGUUCAACAAGCAUUGCCUGCGAACUUUUUUCUGAACAGGUUAUUGUUGUCUCUCUAUAUAC
rnacentral:snoRNA from 1 species